rnacentral:lncRNA from 1 species
GGCACUGUUACCACUCACAGCCCGGACUGGCUCCAGCGCUGUGAGCAGCUCUUAACAUUCUCUCACCCUCACGGGCUCUUGAGGCAGGAUUUGUCCCUCGGGGGAGCCACUACGGCCCACCCUAGCCCAAGGGUUUUGGCUUAUGGCACUUUUCCACCAUAAGUCGCCUCCCCCACUACUCGAACCCUUGACCUCCCACUUUAAGGGAAUAGUCUGGUGAGAGUGAGUACCAAUUGUUCCAAUG